rnacentral:rRNA from 1 species
CAGGCGUCGAGCGGCGGACGGGUGAGUAACACUUAGGAAUCUACCUAGUAGUGGGGGAUAGCUCGGGGAAACUCGAAUUAAUACCGCAUACGUCCUACGGGAGAAAGGGGGCAACUUGUUGCUCUCGCUAUUAGAUGAGCCUAAGUCGGAUUAGCUAGUUGGUGGGGUAAAGGCCUACCAAGGCGACGAUCUGUAGCUGGUCUGAGAGGAUGAUCAGCCACACCGGGACUGAGACACGGCCCGGACUCCUACGGGAGGCAGCAGUGGGGAAUAUUGGACAAUGGGGGCAACCCUGAUCCAGCCAUGCCGCGUGUGUGAAGAAGGCCUUUUGGUUGUAAAGCACUUUAAGCAGUGAAGAAGACCUAACGGUUAAUACCCGUUAGCGAUGACAUUAGCUGCAGAAUAAGCACCGGCUAACUCUGUGCCAGCAGCCGCGGUAAUACAGAGGGUGCAAGCGUUAAUCGGAAUUACUGGGCGUAAAGCGAGCGUAGGUGGCUUGAUAAGUCAGAUGUGAAAUCCCCGGGCUUAACCUGGGAACUGCAUCUGAUACUGUCAGGCUAGAAUAGGUGAGAGGAAGGUAGAAUUCCAGGUGUAGCGGUGAAAUGCGUAGAGAUCUGGAGGAAUACCGAUGGCGAAGGCAGCCUUCUGGCAUCAUAUUGACACUGAGGUUCGAAAGCGUGGGUAGCAAACAGGAUUAGAUACCCUGGUAGUCCACGCCGUAAACGAUGUCUACUAGUCGUUGGGUCCCUUGAGGACUUAGUGACGCAGCUAACGCAAUAAGUAGACCGCCUGGGGAGUACGGCCGCAAGGUUAAAACUCAAAUGAAUUGACGG